rnacentral:misc_RNA from 1 species
AAAAAUAUUAGUUUUAAACCUUAUAGCUGAAUUGUGUAGUUACUUGAGAAUUAUCUGGUUUAAAGGACUCAAGAGGGGCCGUAUGAUAUUGUUGUGAUGUGGGCCUGAGGCCUUUGGUUUUAGAAGUGCUGUUUGGGUUGCCUUGCAGGUUCAGUAGGUCUUAGGUACAGGAAAAAUUGUAUUGGAUUUUCGGUAUAAAUUAUAACGUCUUUUAUCUCUUUAAAGUCUUGUUUUAAAGUUAGUACUGAUAAAUUUAUAAUAUAACUGUUUAGGUGAUUAGGGUUAGCCAUCUUUCUCCACUCAGCUGCCACAGUAGUUUUCGGUGUAUUAUGAGUAGAUAUUGAUUUUAUUUAU